GAAUGACUAUAGAUCAUGGGAUGGAUUUUGUGGAAUAAUUGCCUAAGGUGACUUGAAAAUUAAACAGAUAUUCAUGUUUUAACAAACAGGUACAACAGUGAAGAAGCUUCCAGGGUGCAGUGUAGCUGUGCUAACAAGAUGUUCCCUAGGCCCCCAACCUUAGAUGCUAUUGCACCGGGGGAACCUGGUGUGCUGACUCUAAGGAACAGCACGGAGCGCAGAGCGGCGUGGAGACACCGCGGCUGGGCUCUGUGACCAGGUGGGGACUCAGUUGUUCUUGCGCACACCAAGACCGAUCAGCUGCAUGUUUGCUGCCCUGAGCCAACCACCUGCCAUGGUUUUGACAAAAUGCUGUACUCCAGUGAACUUUGCUCGUUUUAAUAUCAUUAUAACGCCAAAACACACCUCCAUCGCAAAAGCCACCCGCCUCCAAGGUGUGAACACCCCUCACAGA